rnacentral:rRNA from 1 species
ACGCUCGACACUACGGAGGCAGCAGUCGGGAAUAUUGCGCAAUGGAGGAAACUCUGACGCAGUGACGCCGCGUAUAGGAAGAAGGUUUUCGGAUUGUAAACUAUUGUCGUUAGGGAAGAAAAAAGACAGUACCUAAGGAGGAAGCUCCGGCUAACUACGUGUCAGCAGCCGCGGUAAUCUGAGCGGGCUGGCAAGGC